rnacentral:lncRNA from 1 species
UUUGUUCCAAAAGAAAGCCAAGAAGGACGGUGUUAAUAAAGAGAGAUUUAACUGAGGGCUGUGCUUGGAAUAAAGUGGACUACAAAAAGGUCAAAUUUGAUCAGUUGGAGCAGAUUACAAGGGCUUUAAAAGGUAGUGGUGAAGAAAUGAAACUGGGACUGUGAAGCAAUAUAGCACAAGAUUGAUUUUGGGGGUGGAGAGAAGCUGGGACAAGUGCUUAUCAGCUUGAGAAGGAGGAAGAGCUGUGCCGGGUUUGUUGUCAUUCCCACACUGAGUAGAGUACUUGCUGCUUUUGUGGUUAGCCUUCCCUGCCGUGGUUGUUCUUCCUUUUUUUAUUUUAACUUAUAUAUAUUUUAUUGUUAUUAUUACUACAAUGGUGUCUAUAAUCUCUGACUUGGAUCCUCUGAAAAGCUGGAAAGUUUUAAGUACAGCACCCUUUCCUUGGACUGUAGGAUUUGACUUCCUGCUUCUACAUGUGCCACAGAGCUCCAGGAGACACUCCAAAAGACCAUAAGGAAAGUCAGUGCUUACUGAGAUCUUAUCUUUAUGCUUACCUGUGACACUGGUAACAUGCAAGUCAGA